rnacentral:rRNA from 1 species
GCAAGUCGAGGGGCAUCGGGAGUAGCAAUACUUGCCGGCGACCGGCGCAAGGGUGCGUAACGCGUGAGCAACAUGCCCGUAUCAGGGGGAUAAUCCAUGGAAACGUGGUCUAAUACCCCAUAGUAAUUAUGUAAGGCAUCUUAUAUAAUUUAAAGCUUUGGUGGAUACGGAUUGGCUCGCGUGACAUUAGCUGGAUGGUAAGGUAACGGCUUACCAUGGCUACGAUGUCUAGGGGUUCUGAGAGGAAGGUCCCCCACACUGGAACUGAGACACGGUCCAGACUCCUACGGGAGGCAGCAGUGAGGAAUAUUGGACAAUGGAUGGAAAUCUGAUCCAGCCAUGCCGCGUGCAGGAAGACGGCCCUAUGGGUUGUAAACUGCUUUUGUAUGGGAGCAAUAAGGGCUACGUGUAGUCCGAUGAGAGUACCAUACGAAUAAGCACCGGCUAACUCCGUGCCAGCAGCCGCGGUAAUACGGAGGGUGCAAGCGUUAUCCGGAUUUAUUGGGUUUAAAGGGUGCGUAGGCGGUUUGAUAAGUCAGCGGUGAAAUAUUUCAGCUUAACUGGAAGGGUGCCGUUGAUACUGUCGAGCUUGAAUUUAGUUGCUGUGGGUGGAAUGUGUGGUGUAGCGGUGAAAUGCAUAGAUAUCACACAGAAUAUCGAUUGCGAAGGCAGCUCACAAAGCUAAUAUUGACGCUGAUGCACGAAAGUGUGGGGAUCAAACAGGAUUAGAUACCCUGGUAGUCCACACUGUAAACGAUGAUAACUCGCUGUCGGCGAUACAUAGUCGGUGGCCAAGCGAAAGCGAUAAGUUAUCCAC